rfam:Mycobacterium shimoidei strain HMC_M2 PROKKA_contig000031, whole genome shotgun sequence.
UUGGCGACCGGGUCCACUUCGCGGGUCACCACGAGGUAGUUGCGCAGUGCGACGGCGUGCAGGUGCUC